AGCCGAGAAAAAAGAAAGAAAAUCAGCCCUCGCACGACCCUGCCUCCCAAUCCCCGUCUCCACCUCCUGCCUCGCGCGCCGCCGUGCGCCGACACCGCCCACCACGCCGGUACGUCUACCCCUGCACGACCGGCUACACGCCGACGACGCUCGAGUGCACCUUCUUGAUCAAGGCAACACGACGGCUCGAGCGGUUGGGGGCAGCACGGCGGCUCGAUGCGGAACGGCGGCGGCGGCGGCUGGAGCUUGCAGGGGCUGGGGAGGCUGAUUCGAAGGUGGGCGGCGAGGCGGGGGAACGGUGAGGAAGGCCGGAGCGAGGGAUCCGGCGACCUAGGCAAGAGCUCGCCGGAGCCGGGCGAUGGCGGACGGGCGCGCGAGGCAGAGGGAUCCGAUGCGGCGGUUCGAAGUCCUUGCAGGCAAGGGCGGACCUCCAUGGCUGGCAGGGGGGCUCCAAGGCCAUGGCGGGGCUUCGGUUUUCCCUGGUAUAGAAAAGAGAAACAGAAGAGGAUUCAGGGAAAAGAAGAACGGGGAUUCAGGGAGAAGAAGAACGGUGGAAGAAGGAUGGCUGGCCUCCUCGGCGCAUGCCAUACGAUCUAAAGGUUCAUAUCAGACAAGGCAACCACAACAGUACAACCAUGAUAAUCUCAUGGGUGACAACAGUCAGAACCUGGAUCGAGCACUGUGUUUUACGGGACUUCAGAAGAUAAUCUCAAUUGUUCUGCAAAGGGAAAGCAUUCGCGGUAUACGUUCUACAAAUAUACCUCGGGAUACAUUCAUCAUUGUACAAUCAAGAACCUGAAGUUUGACACAAAGUAUUACUAAGCCGUUGGAACUGAAGAGACGCUGAAAAAGAUUUGGUUUAGGACCCCUCCGAAAAGUGGCCCAGAUGUUCCAUAUACAUUUGGUCUGAUAGGUGAUCUCGGUCAGAGUUUCGACUCCAAUGUCACGCUCGCUCAUUAUGAGUCCAAAUAGUAUGAUGUAAUCCUCUAAGCAUGGUUGACAUACUUGCUUUGUCAUAUUUACUAUCAUAAAUUUCUUUCAAUGGGGUCUCUGGAAAUACUGUUUUCUAUGUGUUCCCAUUGGUGGCUGAAUAAUUUGUCACUUUUUCAAUGGGAUAUAUUUGUUGCUAAUGGUCAUUUAUAAAGAUUUAUAAAGCAUCCAUCUGUGAAUGAAUUUCUGAAUAUUACCAUAAUGUGUAUGAUAAUGGUGGAACACUUAGAUUGUGGUUCAUGACAAAACACUUGUGAUGAUGUUGUUCAACUAUUGUAUGGCAGUUCCAGAUUGUGUGUUUACGUAUGCCUAGCCAACCUUGGUUCAUGAAGCUUUAGAAAUUAGAAGCAUCAUCUUGUUUCAGAAGGUAAAGAAAGAAGGUGUGGUGAUACUUCUUCUCCUCCCGUUGCAACGCAUCCGGAGCUCGAGCGAGCCGAUUUGCACAGAGGCUGAGGAUGGGAUGGUGUGCUGCACUCGAGACGAGAGGGCUCGAUUAAGGGGAUUGGAGGGUGGCGCCGGCGGGCUCGCGGACGGGGAUGGAGAGGGCGGGUGCCAGCAAGAUCGAGCCGGGGAUGGAGAGGGCGGGGGUCGGCGAGCUGGAGGUUGAGGAUGGGAAGAGGUGGCGCUGCCGGCGGCCACGAGCGGAGGAGGGCACGCAGCUUCUCUCGCCAUGUGUAGAUACAGUACUAUUUUACAGGCGCAGACAGGAAGGCAGUACAUUGUUCUUGCGGUACGCUGACGCAUUUGAUUUGCCCGUGCCAUCUAGGAAGGGCUGGUUCUACUGCUAGAUGUUGGCCCGUCGAUGCACUGGGAGCUGCAGGAAGUCGAGAAUGUCUCCACCACCCUUGUGUGCAAGAAGGCAAGCAACACGAGGAGCGGCGAUGGCCGCUGCCUGAGCCUGGCGUUCUUUUUGUUGAGAAUCCCUGAGCCCGGUGGUGGUUAUCGCGAGAACCAGGACAACGGAAGCCAGGUGGCAUCACUGGUCCAUGUAAAACAGGUUUAAACUUGGUGAAGCCAUUGAACAACACUCUUGCUUUCUUCUGUUAGGACCCUUUAUCAACCAUUGAGCCACGCCAAGUUUUUGAGAUGGUAAUGAAGCCUGCCACAUUAAAUUUGUCCCUCCCCUUGGUUCUUUGUUAUUUAUUCUUUUGAAUUCCUGAAAUUUCUCUCCAAAAUAAGUCUUUCUUUGCCAGAAGAUUGAACUGUUUCUUUUCAGCUACGAUCAUCUAAUCUCAUAUGUGUGUUCGUUUGAACUUUAUUUACUCUUUUGACUGUUGAUUUGGUUUGCUUUGCCUGAAGAUUGAACUAUUUCUUUUACUGUUGAUUUAUGAACUCCAAGUACUGAUGUGCAUAAUUAAGCAUCUGUUCAUCAGGUGUCAUUGUAUAUGGACAAGUCUGCAGGGGUUUGCCAGUCGGACUUCCAUGAUUGCAAAUUGUCGUUCCUGCAACUUAUAUGUGAUCAUGAUCUUUUUGUUGAGAUGACUGACCAGCAAUAUUGUUCAGAGACUUCGGUCCUCCUCCACAGCGGGAUGCGACCUCCCUGGAGCAGCGGGUCAGGCGCAUCGUCGGAGGGGGAGAAGAGCUUGUUAUCUACAUGACUACAUCAAUGUUGAGUGAACCGCCGUCGAACUGAAGCGCGCCUCCUAUAGCUGCGACCCUGUGUUGGCCCUGCCCGCGUACGUCCGCUAAGACCGGAAACAGAGCAGGAAAGGAGUUCAAAUGACCUCUCUCUAUUUUUCCUCCCUCUGGGAGGGAGUUGCCAAAGCAGUUAAGGCAUGCGGAGGUUUGAAAGUUGCGCAGGAGGCGGCCUAAGGGUGGGACGGCGUACAAUCCCUCUACUGUCAUUUUAUACUCUGAUUUUUUUGCUGCAUGCACAGGUGUUUCAGGCAGAAACAGUAAUAGCAUCGACUAGGAGGAGCAAGACAAGAAGCAGCGACAGCUACCAUUGCUGGCUAAGCUAUCUGCUACGAUGCCCGCCUCUCUUUGCAACGGCCAAAGCACACAACAAUCCAUAUUUUGGUGAAUUUUUUCUCCCCACUUUGGUGACUUGGGACGGGUUGUGGGCAACAGCAGUUUGAAAGAAUCGGUAGUAGAAACGUGAAUGUUAAAGCCAAUGGGCUAAAAACUAUAAGGAUACUUGAUUUGUUUCCAUGUCUACCUUUCAGUAUUCAGCCUUGCGAGAAAAUGUGCCUCGGGAUAGAAGCUUGACAUAGGUGUGGCCUUGAAUGCCAGGAUUUUAUGAGUAUCCUGACUCUUCUGUUCUCAUUACAGAAUCAGAAUUCAAAAGAUCAAUGUACUAAUGCAUUUCAAGUUUUCAACAGGAGAGUACUUUCUGAUGUUUUAAUGACCAGGUAUUAUUGAUCUUGAGGUGUGUUAUUGAUCUCCGUUACUAAAUAGAUGGUGUUUUUUGUUACUUUAUGAAGAAGCAUUGCAUGCAAGACGCCAUAGAAAAAAACUGCUGCCCCUGAUGCUUCCUCGCGGAAUCGCAGCUUGAUGGGGCUUGCUGCGCCUCUGGAACACGCAACCGCUAACAAAGAGCAGCUUGAAGGUUUGAACAAAUGUACAUAUUGAAAUUUAGAGUUCCAACAGUACAUAUGUGCAAGAGUGUAAUGUUCACUUGGAACUUGCUCGUGGUGGAGACGUUCAACACAAAAAAAGUGAAGACGACCUGAAACUUCAUGAGAUAAUUUAGUAAUUCGGUCUGGUCAGUACAUUUCUACGUAAACAAAAAAAUAUCCAAUCAAAGCACAUUGGCUUA